rnacentral:rRNA from 1 species
CGCAUGAUGUUCAUGUAAAAGACGGCUUUUGCUGUCACUUUUGGAUGGGCUGCGGCGUAUUAACUUGUUGGUGGGGUAACGGCCUACCAAGGUGAUGAUACGUAGCCGAACUGAGAGGUUGAUCGGCCACAUUGGGACUGAGACACGGCCCAAACUCUACGGGAGGCAGCAGUAGGGAAUCUUCCACAAUGGACGAAAGUCUGAUGGAGCAACGCCGCGUGAAUGAAGAAGGCCUUCGGGUCGUAAAAUUCUGUUGUCAGAGAAGAACGUGCGUGAGAGUAACUGUUCACGUAUUGACGGUAUCUGACCAGAAAGCCACGGCUAACUACGUGCCAGCAGCCGCGGUAAUACGUAGGUGGCGAGCGUUGUCCGGAUUUAUUGGGCGUAAAGGGAACGCAGGCGGUCUUUUAAGUCUGAUGUGAAAGCCUUCGGCUUAACCGAAGUAGUGCAUUGGAAACUGGAAGACUUGAGUGCAGAAGAGGAAAGUGGAACUCCAUGUGUAGCGGUGAAAUGCGUAGAUAUAUGGAAGAACACCAGUGGCGAAAGCGGCUCUCUGGUCUGUAACUGACGCUGAGGUUCGAAAGCGUGGGUAGCAAACAGGAUUAGAUACCCUGGUAGUCCACGCCGUAAACGAUGAGUGCUAAGUGUUGGAGG